rnacentral:sRNA from 1 species
GGUUUAAUUGUGAUUCGUU